rnacentral:lncRNA from 1 species
AAAAAGAAAAUAUAGGCCUACUCUAUGUGUUCGACACUGAUAGUCGUACAAAAUGUCUCUGACACACUACUCCAGUGUCAGAUUAAAAUAUAAUUUUUUUGGGGCUUCAACACUUUAACACACCGCUUUAAUAGGGCUUCAGUGGAAAAUUUGUUUUUUGAAAAUUUUAAAACACAAAUUUCAAAUUUAGAAAGUAGAAAGACAAAAACUUAUCGCAUAUGCUUCUCUUCUUUGCUGGUACGAGACCUUUUGAUUUUUUGUUGCCCAUUGUUGCAUUGACUUCUCUCAACUGUUCUUGUUAAUGGUAAGUUUAUAUAUACUCCCAUAGUUUCUAUAUUGCUCUUCAUUUCUCAUUCUCGACCUGCAUACUUUCUUUGCUGUCAAAAGGAGUGGCUAACUCUAUUUUUAUUUCACAUGUGAAAACCGGUGGUGUAUGAUAAUUUACUUGUUGUUAUGUGCUUAUGCGUGUCAUAUUAAUAAUGAGACAACACCAUCUCUUAAGGGGCAAGUGCUAAGCUGGUUCACCCACUCACCUGUGCUCUCAGGUCUUCCAAGCUUGCGUUUAGAUUUUGGUAGAAAUUGGACAAGUUGGGUACCGUGAAUCCGCUGCACUUCAAUGUGAGUAAAAAGAGUUGAGGGUCUCCAACUGCUCCUUCAAAGCUCCACCAUGACCACAACACCAACAAGGUUAAGGCUACGACCUUGAGUUGCACCAUUUUCUUGUGAUUCUUAAUUAAGGGUUCAAAAGACCGGUUUGAUAUAGGCCUCAAAGAAAAAAGUCUAGUUGUCGAUGAUGUUCAUGCGUGGGUUGAUUAAGGUUGUCCAAGUCUAAGAUCUGACAUAUGGAGGAAGACUAGUGUUUCUGUUAGCUAUGUAUGUAUAAGAAAGAAGUUUAGUCAUUUUUUUAUAAUAUUCUAUUAGGUAAAAUUUAUAAAUGAAAUCAUUUAAAAUUUUAUACGUAUAUAAUUAAUUUGAAUGAAUGAUAUAAAUUUAGAGAGAAAAGGGUAAAUUAAAACUUUUG